CCUACGGGUGGCAGCAGUGAGGAAUAUUGGUCAAUGGACGCAAGUCUGAACCAGCCAUGCCGCGUGCAGGAAGACGGCUCUAUGAGUUGUAAACUGCUUUUGUCCGGGGGUAAACGCAGAUACGCGUCUCUGUCUGAAAGUAUCGUACGAAUACGGAUCGGCUAACUCCGUGCCAGCAGCCGCGGUAAUUCGGAGGAUUCAAGCGUUAUCCGGAUUUAUUGGGUUUAAAGGGUGCGUAGGCGGUCGGUUAAGUUAGAGGUGAAAUCCCGUGGCUCAACUUCGGAAUUGCCUCUGAUACUGGUAGGCUAGAGAGUAGGUGCGGUAGGCGGAAUGUGUGGUGUAGCGGUGAAAUGCAUAGAGAUCAUGCAGAACACCGAUUGCGAAGGCAGCUUACCGGGCUACUACUGACGUUGAGGCACGAAAGCGUGGGGAGCAAACAGGAUUAGAUACCCUAGUAGUC
rnacentral:rRNA from 1 species